rnacentral:tmRNA from 1 species
GGGGACGACAUGGCUUCGACGUGGUCGGUUCGCUGGGGUGGUUGCGAGUCGAGGUGCCGGAGGCCUCGUAAAACCCCGGCAACACCAUAAGUGCGAACACGCACAAUUACCGUCUCGCUGCUUAGCCGAAACUAGGCAGUAGACCUUCGCUCCCGGAGCCCGCGCCGGGAACCAGCGGAGUCAGAAGCGGGAUCACCCCCGGGAGGCCCGUCCGCGCCGAGCGGGGGAAAAUCCAAGCGGACUGGCCCCUGACAACCCUGCCGGUGACGGCGAGUCAGGGGCGAGAUUAAGAGCACCGGACACACUCGUAGACGCUGCCCUUCGCGCGAUCGCGGACGUGGGUUCGAUUCCCACCGUCUCCACUG